rnacentral:lncRNA from 1 species
GCCUCUUAUAUUGUUGUUUUGCCUUAGUUGGUUAGCCAUUAUUUCUACUGACAUUACGAAAAGUAAAGAAGAGCACGGGCACCCCUGCCGGAUACCUCUUAGGGGUCUAAAGGGGGCAGAUAUCCAACCGUUAUUAAAUAUAGAACUAUUUAUAUUUGUAUACAAGGUUUUUAUCCAAUUUAUGAAGGGUUUAUUAAAACCAAAAUAUUCUAAAGUAUGAUACAUAAAAUUCCAUUCUAAUGUGUCGAAAGCUUUCGAAAAAUCUAUGAAUAAAAUUGCUCCUUCUAUAUU